AGCCCCGGGACCGCGGGCUCCUCCCGCCGCCUUAAAGCCGGCCGCGUCCCGCUCCGGGCGGCGCUGCCCGGCGCCGGGGAUGCACCCGAACGCCACGGCCCCGGCCGUGCCCGCCGGGCCGCUGCAGCCGCAGCCCAGCGGCUUCGCCAACGCCACCAACCGCUCCGACCUGCUCCCCAAAGUGCCCGACGAGGAGGACCUGGACGUGAACACCGACAUCUACUCCAAAGUGAUGGUGACCGUCAUCUACUCGGCUCUGUUCUUGGUGGGCACCGUGGGCAACUCCAUCACGGCGUACACGCUGGUGAGGAAGAAGUCGCUGCAGAACCUGCAGAGCACCGUGCACUACCACCUGGCCAGCCUCGCCUUCUCCGACCUCCUCAUCUUCCUGCUCUGCAUGCCCAUCGAGCUCUACAACUUCAUCUGGGUCCACCACCCCUGGGCUUUCGGCGGGGCCGUUUGCAAGGGCUACUACUUCCUCCGGGACGCCUGCACCUAUGCCACGGCACUGAACAUCGCCAGCCUCAGCGUGGAGCGCUACAUGGCCAUCUGCCACCCCUUCAAAGCCAAGAGCAUCAUGUCCCGCAGCCGCACCAAGAAGUUCAUCAGCUGCAUCUGGAUCGCCUCCUUCCUGCUCGCCAUCCCCAUGAUCUUCACCAUGGGGCAGAUCUACGGCAAGGACCGGGACCCCGACUCGCUCAUCUGCACCGCCAUCGUGGACACCUCCACGCUCAAGACGGUCAUCCAGGUCAACACCUUCAUCUCCUUCGUGUUCCCCAUGGUCGUCAUUUCUGUGCUCAACACCAUCAUCGCCAACCAGCUGCUGGUGAUGUUCAAGCAGGCGGCCCAGGAGAACCAGGUGUGCACCAUUGGUGGGCAGCAGACCAUGCUCAGCAUGUCCAUGGAGCCCAGCAGAGUGCAAGCCCUGAAACACGGCGUCAGGGUCCUGCGUGCUGUGGUGAUUGCCUUCGUGGUCUGCUGGCUCCCUUACCACAUCCGGCGCCUCAUGUUCUGCUAUGUCCCCUCCAGCCACUGGACAGAUUUCCUUUACAACUUCUACCACUACUUCUACAUGCUGACAAAUGUCCUCUUCUACGUCAGCUCAGCAAUCAACCCCAUCCUCUACAACCUGGUGUCGGCAAACUUCCGCCAGAUCUUCCUCUCCACACUCACCAUCCUGUGCCUGCCAUGGAGGAAGAAGAAGAAACGACUGGCCUUCACCAGGAAAUCCAACAGCAUCUCCAGCAACCACACAUUUUCCAGCCAGGUCACAAGGGAAACCACGUACUGAAGCCAAAGGAGGAGGAGGAGGAACGCAAUUCAUCGUGGAGUCAAAACUUGAGAGAGGCCUCUGUGACUUUCAUGCAUGGUCUCCAAAUUCACGUAACACAAAUGUGUUUAGCAAAGUCAUUUUUGUUGGAAAAAAUAGGCUUUGUUCUGCCAGUAACUUUGAGGUUAUUUUCAAGCAUUGGCCUUGCCUCUUGUGAGUAAUGUCUACAUGUAUUGUAACUUCAGUCUGGCAUAAAUCCAGAUGUGGUGUUAACUGGGAAGCCAAAAUGUGUUCAACUUAGGCAAAACUGUUCUGCAUCUCAUCCUUUUCUCAGUGCAGAGAUGCCGUGUCCACGUCCAAGGGUUUGAGAUCGUGUCUCCUGGUGGCACCAAGCAGAGAGUUUGAUGAGGAGAAAGAAGCUUUGAACAGAAAGGGAUGUUCUUGGAGAAUGGAUAUGCUAUCUGUGGGAUGUUCAGUGAACGAGGAGUGAAAACUCAGGGAGCCAGGUGGUUAUUUUAGAAAUAUAUCCAUUGUGAGGAACACAACUGAGGUGCUCAAGAGAGCCACUCUGGCUCCUUGAAAUUAAAUAAGAACAGCUGAUGCCUUACCUAGGCUGGGGUGGCUGUGGCCUGGGGAGUGGGGUCACCUUUGGCUUUAGGGCAUCCACAGUGCCUGGCUUUGGUACCACUGCACCAAGAGCAGCAGAGUCUCUGGCAAAGUCAAGAAUGCAGAGGCUGUGCCCAGAUGGAGCGCUGAAAAUGAACAGAAAUGGAAAAUAUUCCUUUUGCCAUACAGCCAAAUCCUAUUUUUUACCAGGGAGAACAGUUUGCUGGCCUGCACUAAGAGAUGAGAAAACUCUGAGCUCAUGAGGGCUCCAGGCUGCUGAGAUAAGAGCAAUCUGCCCCAAUUCUUUGGCACCUUCAGAUUUUUCCCAUUCUAAUUCCAGUUUUACUUGUUUUCUUGCUAUUUCCACAAGGCUGAUGCCUCAUGUAUAGCAGUUGUAGGCAGCAGGUCCUCUUGUUCUACCUUUUCUUGUAUUACUUUUUGCUACCAGAACUGUUGGCACACCUAUCUGCACCCCCAAUACUCACAUAGUUCAAAUGCAGAGCAUAAGAAAGUCUAAACUGGGGAGUCUUCACUCUAAACCCAUUUUCUUUUAACAAGCCAGAGGAACAGAAACAAGACCUGAAAAUUCUCUUUGAAAUUUAAGAGGGGAGGUAAGGAGAGGUAGCAUGAGCUUUUCCCCCAUAUGGUUUCACCUCUGAUGGCCCCUUAUAUGAUACAGCAAAUUGCUCCAGAGUGUUUAGUGCAGAAAUAACAGGGCUCUGGGACAAGCUAAAGGGCUUUUUCCCCAGAUGGUGACCUGAACGAACCUGGAGCUGACCAUUCACCCUGUGCUGCCUUUGCUGGUGGUGACCUGGUGUCCCCUUUCACACCACAUGCCACCAGGAGAGCAGGACUUGCCUCUGAAAGGUGACAAAGUAGAAGAGCUGGCUCAGUUUGGCUUUCUGGGCCUUGCCCAUCCCACGUCACCCCUCAGCUAAUGAGCAGCUGGGGUCCCCAGCUGGAGCCACAGGCUGGCCCAAGUGAGGGUCACACAGUGGUGGAGACCAGAACCACUGGUGACAUCUCCUGCUACAGGUGUUGCAUCACAGAGUCACAGAACAGGUCAAGUUGGAAGGGACCCACAAGAAUCAUCAAGUCCAACUCGCUGGACUUGUGGUUUAGGUCCUGUUGGGCUCAGCACAAAGAGGAAAAACCCAUCUGGGGGCAUUUGCUGUGAGUUGUUGGUGAUGGGUGACUGCUUUUGGGGCAUUUAGAACCUGUACCCAGCUGGCCACCCAGCAGCCCAUCAGCCACACCUGCUGAUGGAGGGAUGGGAGGUGAUUUUAAUGCCUAGUACAGAAACCCUGCAAAAGAAAGGGCUCAAAAUGAAAGUCAGUGGGGCUUCAGUUCCUUCUGACUCAGCCAAACUGCAAGCUCUGUUCUGUCAUGCCUUCUCGUGAUUUCUUGACCCGGUUGUACCAAGCAGGAGGCAGAGAUUAUAUUUGACCAAGCACUUUUGUUGCUCAUGGACUGUUGACUCCUCUUCGACAAAGAAAACAGGUAGUGGCAGACAAAUAAAUAAAUUGAAACAAAGAGGAAUAAGGGAGACUGAUCUCUUCAGAAGGAAAUCUGUGGGGAAAAGCAAGUAUUUUGUGUGUAUGUUGUGUGUGAAAUGGCUUGAGCAGGUUGGAAGAAGAAGACCUGCUCAUCCAGCCUCAUGGCAAAAUCCAGGUACCAUGAACAGGAGAGGGGAAAAAUCUGCCUUGAGAGAAAGAGGAGUCUUGAUGUCACAUAUUUAACAUUGGCCUUCCAGGCAAGACACUUCAAAUGUUUCUGGAUGACCCAAAUGGUUUUACUUCACCUCUAAAUUCAGCCAGCAGCUGUAUUUAGGAGGAGCUUUCUGAAACCUCCCAGGGAAGCUGUAACUGCAUUGCUUUGACUUUCAUUAACACCCUGCAUGUCUCAUUUGCUCAUUUGAAAUAUUAAACAUUAUUACUACACUUGUUCAACACCAGCCUGCUGAAAUGUCCUUGAUUAUCAUAGAAAACACUGUACAAAAAUUGUUCUUUCACAUAAGAUGCUUGGUUUAGACUUUCACUACUGAGAUACACAGGCAGCUUACAGAAUAUUUGAUCACAGCUCAGAGAAACUGGCAGGUUUGUUUUUGGUUUGACAUGACAGUGAGAAAAAGCUGGAGAAAAAGUGAACUUAUCAUCAACUCUUUCCACAGUGUUUGUUGGGCCACUCUAGUGCUGAGGAGCAGGGGGAAUUUGGGGGAUUCAUCCAAGUGGUUUGCUGACUUCUACAGCUCUGUUCUUGCAGUUUAACAGGAAAGCAGAUCUGGGUCCAUGGCCUUAAUCUGAGAUUGCAGCUCAAAGCUACCUCUUCCACUGGCCAAAUCUGACAGCCUUGAGCUGAGCAGUGUAAGUUACAGCUGCUUUCAUCCUCUCUUCCCUCCUCACCUAAUUUUGCUGUAUUCAGCUUAGAGAUGUGGCUUGAGCUCAAAGAAGUGAGGAUAGCUGACUUCAAGCCCCCAUGGUUUCAUGAUUUCCAGAGAAUCACUGGACAGUUUGGGUUGGAAGGGACCUUAAAGACCAUCCAGUUCCAAACCCCUGCCGUGGGCAGGGACACUUUUCCCUAGACCUGGUUGCUCCAAGCCCCAUCCAACCUGGCCUUGUAAAGGAAAGUUGAUACAGUAGAGAUGAGAAAGGUACAAACUGCCCCAUAUUUACCACAGAAAAGGUUCUUUAGAUGCCUCUUAACAAUGAUUGAACUGCUAACCCAACAACGUUUUUUAAUUUAAUCUGAUGUGGAUGGCUUUUGCCAUUAGACGGAACAAAAACUCCCAUCCAUUGUGUCCCUGCUUUGGCAUUCUUCACUGAAGCAGAAGUGAGUGCUGGGGCUCUGCUCAUCUAUGCAAAUUCCCUGUGUUUGGAACUGUUUGUUUUGACUAAAAAAAGAAUAAAAUCUGUGGAACCCGCAGAUGUGAAGUGCUGCCAGAUGGAUUCUGAGAAAUUCCAUUCUGAAGAGAGUCUAUCAAGUGACCUCUUCAAACGUUAUUUUGAGGCUUUGUUUCUCUUCAGAGUGCCCUUGCCAGAGCCAUCAGUUUAGCAGAGUGUGAAAUCAGGUUUAUAAAGUAAUUUUGCUAUUCAGAAAUUUCCCCCAGACAGGACUGUCUCACCACAGGCCCAGCCCAGGAAUGCUCUGCUGAGCUUGUCUUUUUUUGUAAGGUGCAUGAGACCUCACUUCAGCGAGGUUUCAGAAGAAAACUCAACGGGAAAUCAGCGAGGAGGGUUGGCAGGGCACGUGCUGGAGCACAACAAUAGCAGGAUCUUUGCAUUUCCAGCGUUCAGUGAGGCAGCCCUGGGUGUGCAGCUGCUGCAGACAGCUCCUGCUGCAGGUUUGGACCCAUCACCUGUGCAGCUGCAUGGCUGCAGCCCUGGGCAGGGACAGCAAACACCUCCACAGGGUGCUGUGCCAGCCCAGUGUCCUCCUGGCUGUGUUCUUUGGUGGCUUUAACCAAAGCUGUGUCUGCUGGAGCUCUGUCUGGUUCUUCACAUCACAGCUCAACCACUCCUCCUGCUCUCAGACUGGAUUUGCUUAGUACAAAAGUAGAAAUUGCUGAUCCAAAAUUUCAUGAUGCUGUGUCCUGGCUUUGUGAUCCAGAGUCCUUCCCCAGCUGUGCCACCUGAUAGUCCUGCACAUAUUGUAUUUAUGGCAAAUAUUUUUGAAGUGCACCUUUUUAUUUUUACUUUAUUCUGAGAUACAAAAUGUUGAUGUGCUUUAUUUUUUGUGGCCUGUUGCUCAAUGGGGAAAAAAUGAAUGUUAAAAGUGUGUCAGUGUCUAUUUUGUGAUAUUUUCUGUGACAAAGGGAAAGAAGAGGGUGUGGAAUCCUCCUGUAUGGCAAUGGGAAACACUCUUUCAGUGUAACAUGCUAUUAUUGAUACUGUAUUUACUGAUCAAAGUGUACUGAAAUGGUUAAUUCCUGAUAUAGCCUUUGUACUGUAUGGUAUUUUAUUUUGUCAUUUAUUGAUCCUAAGAAAUAAAUAUCUAAAUUUAA